AAAAUCGUGUGUCCCACCGGUGUAUUUAUACACAGUUGGAUGAAACCGAAAUGCAUCGGGCAAGACAACCGUAAAUGUAAUCAGUAGCACAUUUAGAGCGACCCCAGCGAGUACCGUUAGAAUGUUAAGACUAUACUUUCAGGGAUCAUUUCUAUAGUUUGCAACUGAGAAAUGCGUUUCGAAAGUGUUUGGUCUCGCUACCCACGAUGACGAGGUAAUGCAUCCACUUCUGAGCGCGAAGCGGAUAGAGAGUGUUGAUUUAAAUCAAUCGCUUUCUAUCAUUGAUGACCGUUCCGAUUCUGAAAAGAAUACGGAGGUAGGGGAUGCGUUCCGAGUGGUUAGCCUGUUUGUGGUCGAAAAAUGAGUUUCAAAUGUCUAUUGCGUUUUGAUUGAUAAUCUAAUGAACUUGUUUUGUUGAAUCAUGUAUGUUGAAAGAUUAGUUAUGGGUACGUGGCGAAGGAAAUACACUUUCAAGUAAGACUCGUCUAAUUAAUAGAUGAAGGUUUUAACUUUAGCUACGCAUUAAGAUACUUUUUUUACUUAUCAGUAUCUUGAUUGAUACUAUGAUUACAUAAAUCAGGUUGUGUGGUUCUGGGCUCAAACAAAAACCUGUACACGCCCUUUUCGGAUAAGACAUGGAUCUCCAACCCGGUUGCUGAAGUUCUACGGUAGAUUUUCGUUUCAAGCCGGGAUACACCUGAGUCCUAACUAACUAACAAGCAGCUUCACGAGAUCUCUAGCUGUUGAAUGGGGUGCGCUUAGGGUUGGGUUGGACUAAAACCCUACAGGAUUGUAGAUCUCCAGGAACAGGGUUGGCCACCUCUGGUCUAAAAGUACUACAGCUUUGCAUAUAAAGCAAAGUGUACUCCCCACAUCAUGACAUCUAUUGCUGAAUGUUAACUACAAAUUAACUGCAAUAUAUGAAUGAGUUUAUUGUUUCCCUGACUAUGCACGGGACUUUAAAAUGUUGGCCAGCCAAUGCUGCUGAUAAAAAUGUUUAUUUGUAGUAUAUGCGUUGCGUGCAGUACAAUGAUGAAAGCUACUAGUUAUCAGCAAAAGGAAGCUGAUGAUUUUGAAUUAUUUUCAUAUCUUGAAUUAAGCUUUCCCAGCGCAAUUCUUACUGGGAAAUACCUAACCACAUGCAGUUAUAAUUUUAAACCACUGCGGGGCGUAAAAGGCCUUGCGUCAAUCGUUUGUCACGGCGGAAAUAUAAAUACCUCUGAUGAAACUUUUGGUGGAAUUGUGUUUACAUUUGAUUACAUCCGCUUUAGAAGCGCACGAUUAGAAAGCCUACGAUUCCUGCACCUUUUAAACGCUUACAGACAAAACUGCCAAACUGUCAUGCAUUUUCACUUUGGCUAAAUAAACUCCCUCAGUAUUAACACACAGCUGGUUUGGAGUGAGUUGCCAAUUGAAUUAGAAUGUGUCAAAGCAUGGAUAGCACACGAACCAAAAUAGUGUGCGCACUGCUGUGUUUAUAGAGUUUGGUGAAACCGUCAGGGCAUCAGUCAGGGCAACCGUAGGUGAAACCAGUUGAUACUUUAAAGGGUCCUGACGAGUAACAUGACUAAAUUAAGACUAUACUUUCAGGGAUCAUUUCUAUAGUUUACAACUGAGAAAUGCGUUUCGAGAGUGUUUGGUCUCGCUACCCACAAUGACGAGGUAAUGCGUCCUCUUCUGAGCGCGAAGCGGAUAGAGAGUAUUGAUUUUGAUCAAUCGCUCUCUGUCUUUGAUGACCGUUCCGAUUCUGUGAAGAAUUUGGAAGAAGGGGAUGCGUUCUGAGUGGUUACUUUACUAACGGUUGAAGAUUAUUUAUAUAAUAUGUGAGUUAUAUUAUAAUGGAGAUAUAUCGAUACUGUACUAUGUUUUAGUUACCAAUAUUUAGUGUUUAUACCAAAGGCGAUUUAAAGGUGCAGUGUGUAGAAUUUAGUGGCAUCUAGCGGAACGGACUUGGCAUAAAUGGAAAAUAAUAUUCAUAAGUAGGCUAUGUUUUAAUUAGUGUAUAAUACCAUGAAAAUAAGAAUCGUUGUGUUUCCGUUAUCUUAAAAUGAGCCCUUUAUAUCUACAUAGGGAGCGGCAGUGUUGGGGAAGCUACUUUGAAAGCAUAGCUUUGCAAGCUACCAAUUACUUCACAGUGGAAGAAGUUGAACUACAGCAAAGCUACCCUAGGGAGAAAUCUAGUUUGGUUAACUAAAGCUACUUAGAAAAAGCAGUUUAAACUACUUCGUAAAAAAAUGAUCAAAUUGACAAUGUACAUGUGAUAUGAUAUUAUAACAGAAUAUAAUACAAAAAAGUCACAUACCAGCAAAAAAUGCCACUCAAUUGACUUUAUUGCAAAAUGUGCCCACUUGUUCAAGCUGUGCAGGAACUGCGGCGAGCUAAGUCACUUAGCCGCAGCCUGCACAGUGGUUAAGUGUUGAACUUGUGGAGGUGAACACGAGACCAGCGCAUGCUGUGACCCCAAGCCCUGUAAUCUGUGCGGAGCGAGGGGACAUCUGUACCGAGACUGCCCCCUCUCAUACGCCAACAGGGCUAGGGACACCGCGCCCCCACCACCACCAUCGUACUCUAUUCCCCCCCAUCCCCCCACUCUAAUCCCAAGAGCAGACCUCAAAGAGCAAUCUCAGACUGAUGCACAACUUUCCUCACAAUGCACUACACAGGAGUCCCUAGUCACUAGUAACACUGCUCCCCCCUCAAACCAAAGCCCCCUACAUAACACAACCGGCUACUAACACUGUCACCAUUAAAGAGGAGCCAGACUCUGAUACCCCCAUCAGAUAUCGAUUUAAGUUCAUGUUCUAACCUGUCAUUUAUUUUGAGCCUACACAACUGAAAACCUUUUUAUUGUUAUGAUUAAGCUUUAAAAAUGUUUUGCACCUUUUGUACGUAAACAUAGUUGCCACGGCUCAGAAAGGUGAAAAAAAACAUUUACGCUCGACACUAUAAAAAGGUGUGCUGCAUGUCUGCAGUUCUAUGCACUGAGAGCAGCCUGUGGCAGUGUGGGAACAUCGUUGUCAAUCAUGAGCCCCUUUCACACAUGGAACCUGUAGCGUUGCUGUGUCAACAUUGCAGUUCAUCUUUAAAAGCAGCCAGUUUCACUGAAUAUUAGCCUUAGCAAAGAUAUUAAUGCCACCAGCACAAUACAGUUGAGGAGUGAUAGUUUUAAGAUAACUAAUGGCAACAUUUCUAACCAAUGUCGCACAUUUAUAUGACCCCAAAAAGCUCAUGUUAGGUAAAAAAUGGAAGCAUGCUUAUCAGCUAAAAAUCAUUUAACCUAUUUGUACGCGCAGUUGUUUUUGGUACAAUGCAGCGAAAAUUAUUCGGUCAGCAAGGUUAAAUAGCUGACUAUAUCUGCCAUUAAUAUGUGAUGAUAGCCAGCUUGCUAAAUUGGGUAACAAAACAACUUAACACUAGAAGAAGCAUACCAGGGAGAAGUAUAGCAUAGCAGGCAAGCAUUUUGGUAAUGGUGCUCUCAAAACAGACAAAGCCAUGUGGAGUAAGGACAGUGGCUCUGUUCGUUCCAUAUCGAAAAUGACACAGCAGACGUGCAGUAUCUUCGAAAUUGCGAUGUCUCGUAUUUGUGCAAGAAUUGUUGAGAGGGUAAACGCAUUAAAGUAUUUUUUAAAGAAACUGUUGCAAUUUUACUCAAGUCCGACAUACUUUAGCAUGCUUUGUGCAGAACUUGUGCUGCUUCUGCUCCCACCAGAGCCCUGGUGGAAGAUUUCUGUCCAUCCUACCAGGCCCAGCCCCGGCAAAUCCGAGGAAUGCUGCAAACUGUGUGGCCGAAAUAGCUCAGCUGGGAGAGCGUUAGACUGAAGAUCUGAAGGUCCCUGGUUCGAUCCCGGGUUUCGGCAAUGGGAGCUGUGUCCUCUUUUGAUGAGUAGAGCUGAGCCCUCUGCCUGAGUUUACCGACUGCUCACCCUCCUGCUUAAGCUACCGAUUUCACAGAGUGAAAUCAAGUUCUAAGAUUUGUACAGUUUAAACAUUUAGGAUUGUCGGGCCUUCGUGCGACCAAGUUCCUGAGAUGUGGACCUGCACGAAAAGCCAUGUGCGGCAGUGUGGGAACAUCGCUGUCAAUCAUCAUUUGUACUGUUGCUGAUUACUUACUGGGGAGGGGCAAUGAGAGAACCGACUGUAGAAGGCUCUAUUGACUUUUUGCUGAGGCAUGAUUCAAUUGCAGAUGAGAAAACGGCCCGAGAUAAACUGGUUUCCCUUCUCACUUGGGGUCCGUCCCAAUACUCAAAAACUGUAUACUCCUUUCCUCCACUACCACCUCUUUUUUGUGCCCCAGAGACCGAUCAUUGUGUCCUUCCUAUUUCCAAUGACCCAAUAUCGGAUGAGACUAGCGAAACAGCUUCAGACUCUGCUUCUCGUCACCUCCCGGCAAAGGAUACAUCUAUUUGUCCUACCGCGGAAGUCUUUCACAUUUCGGUCUGACGCGAUCGUGCUCACGCCCACAGAGAUUGAAAGACCAUCCCACCGAAUCGGACACUAUCCAAACUUUAGAAAGCGGAGAUUGCGGAGAACCUGACUGUCCAAAGGAUGUGUUUAUUGCCACAAAACUUGAUUUCAAGAUGUUACGGUGGGUAAUAAAACUUUCUCUGUGUGAACACUGACAUAUGAAGGGGUGAGAAACAUCGACCUUGAUGACAGAGAAAGAAAUAAUCUGUAAUUUUGUCUUCACACCCCUUCCCCCUCUCCUUUCCUUCCUGAGUCUCCCCCCGUAGGUGAAACCAGUUGAUACUUUAAAGGGUCCUGACGAGUAACAUGACUAAAUUAAGACUAUACUUUCAGGGAUCAUUUCUAUAGUUUACAACUGAGAAAUGCGUUUCGAGAGUGUUUGGUCUCGCUACCCACAAUGACGAGGUAAUGCGUCCUCUUCUGAGCGCGAAGCGGAUAGAGAGUAUUGAUUUUGAUCAAUCGCUCUCUGUCUUUGAUGACCGUUCCGAUUCUGUGAAGAAUUUGGAAGAAGGGGAUGCGUUCUGAGUGGU